rnacentral:misc_RNA from 1 species
GUGAAGAACGCAGCGAAAUGCGAUAAGUAAUGUGAAUUGCAGAAUUCAGUGAAUCAUCGAAUCUUUGAACGCACAUUGCGCCCGCUAGUAUUCUGGCGGGCAUGCCUGUUCGAGCGUCAUUUCAACCAUCAAGCCCCAGGCUUGUGUUGGGGUCCUGCGGUCUCUGCAGCCCCCUAAAAGCAGUGGCGGGCUCGCUAGUCACUCCGAGCGUAGUAAUACAUCUCGCUCAGGGCGUGCUGCGGGUUCCGGCCGUUAAAAAGCCUUAUUUACCCAAGGUUGACCUCGGAUCAGGUAGGAAGACCCGCUGAACUUAAGCAUAUCAAUAAGCGGAGGA